GGUGUGUAACCCAUGUUAGGAACACGAUACAGGUUCUCCUGUCAUUUUGUGUGACCUGAUUUCCCUUGUGGAAAUUUAAGACUUCAACAUCUAGGAAUGUUUUAAUGGUGUCUGCACCUGCAGUUCUGUGUUUAAAAUGUCACAAUGUGGAACCUGCCAUCCAGCUACUAACCUGUGCUCCUAACCAGAAGCUGGUCCUUGAUAAUUCAUCAUCUGAGGCUUCCGUGGCUCCCAAUAGGUUUGUGCUUUGUACAUUGAUCACAGCAUUCACUGUGGAAGUGUGAUUUUGCUUUUCAAGCUAUAAACCUGUAUUUCUUUAUUGUACGCUAAGGCCAUGUUUGUAUCAGGCAAAAAGAGACUGAAAUCAAGUUCUGCAGAUAUUAACACUGUGGUUUCAUCACAUAUACACCUUAAUCUUUAAAUUCUGUAGCUUAUGGCUACCUCUGCAACCAAGUACUGUUGCAGACAGAUUAAGGACAAAUGCAUAAUAAUAAUAAAUUUUACAUUUCUAUUGACCUUUAGCUUGAAAAUG
rnacentral:lncRNA from 1 species